CCGCAAGAGAAUGUGAAAUCAAUGCUUCAACAUCAGUUUGGAAUACCGGUAUCUUUUUAGACAUGGAUGGAACGUAUAAGUACAAGGAUGAAUCCUCAACUUCUUCAAGUGAUCCUCCACCUCCUCCACCGGCUCCGGAAGGUGGAUACUCGAAUGAAGCUCUCUACAACAAAAUUUGCUCAGUUGAGACGACUAUGAUGAAGAAUUAUCGUGAGCAAAAAUUUGAG
rnacentral:lncRNA from 1 species